GCUAGCUCUGUGCUUUUCUGGAUGUUCUGAUUAGCAAGACCUGCUGGGACAGAACAGGAGACUGCAAGUGAGAGAAGGAAUGACAAAGCAAUGUACCAGCUGAGGAGGCGUGAGG